rnacentral:snRNA from 1 species
AGGUUUGAAUCCGGAGCG